UAACUGUCACGCCUACAAGGCGGGGCCAAGGGAGGACCUGGAAGACUCGAGGAUGGGCCAGCUCUCUCUGUUCCUGGACCCUGGACGGUGGAGGUUGACCAAGCAGAGCGGUGGACUUCGACACACCUUCCCUAGACCCUGCGACCCACCUAUCCCUUCAUUUCUAGGCACAGGACAUUCUUUGAAGGGGAUUUUGAUGGAAUGUGUAAGUCUGCCUACCACACAGGUGUUGAGAACAAGGAAGGCAGCACGUUACUUAUGAAGACAGAGCAGAUCCCAAGGUGUGGUGUCAUGCACCUGUAAUCCCAGAGGAGACAGGAAGACCUAAAGUCCAAGCUCAUCCUCGGCUACAAGGUCACUGGAAGCCAAGCUGAGCUAUAUAAGACUCUCGUUCAAAACAAAAUACAAUAAAAAAGUAAUUGUUUUCUUUUAUAA